rnacentral:rRNA from 1 species
CUACGGGGGGCUCCAGUGGGGAAUAUUGCACAAUGGGGGAAACCCUGAUGCAGCAACGCCGCGUGGAGGAUGACGCAUUUCGGUGUGUAAACUCCUUUUAUAUAGGAAGAUAAUGACGGUACUAUAUGAAUAAGCACCGGCUAACUCCGUGCCAGCAGCCGCGGUAAUACGGAGGGUGCAAGCGUUACUCGGAAUCACUGGACGUAAAGCGCGCGCAGGCGGCCUUUUAAGUUGGAUGUGAAAGCCUACGGCUCAACCGUAGAACUGCAUCCAAAACUACUAGGCUAGAGUCUGGGAGGGGAAGAUGGAAUUAGUUGUGUAGGGGUAAAAUCCGUAGAGAUAACUAGGAAUACCAAAAGCGAAGGCAAUCUUCUGGAACAGUACUGACGCUGAGGCGCGAAAGCGUGGGGAGCAAACAGGAUUAGAUACCCCAGUAGUC